AGAGUUUGAUCCUGGCUCAGGACGAACGCUGGCGGCGUGCCUAAUACAUGCAAGUCGAGCGCAUGACGAGGAGCUUGCUCCUUUGAUUGAGCGGCGGACGGGUGAGUAACACGUGGGCAACCUGCCCUGUAGACGGGGAUAACUUCGGGAAACCGGAGCUAAUACCGGAUAAUCCUCUUCCCCACAUGGAGAAGAGUUGAAAGGCGCUUUUGCGUCACUACAAGAUGGGCCCGCGGUGCAUUAGCUAGUUGGUGGGGUAACGGCCUACCAAGGCGACGAUGCAUAGCCGACCUGAGAGGGUGAUCGGCCACAUUGGGACUGAGACACGGCCCAAACUCCUACGGGAGGCAGCAGUAGGGAAUCUUCCACAAUGGACGAAAGUCUGAUGGAGCAACGCCGCGUGAGUGAUGAAGGUUUUCGGAUCGUAAAACUCUGUUGUUAGGGAAGAACAAGUACAAGAGUAACUGCUCGUACCUUGACGGUACCUAACCAGAAAGCCACGGCUAACUACGUGCCAGCAGCCGCGGUAAUACGUAGGUGGCAAGCGUUAUCCGGAAUUAUUGGGCGUAAAGCGCGCGCAGGCGGUUUCUUAAGUCUGAUGUGAAAGCCCACGGCUCAACCGUGGAGGGUCAUUGGAAACUGGGGAACUUG
rnacentral:rRNA from 1 species